rnacentral:rRNA from 1 species
CCUACGGGCGGCAGCAGUGAGGAAUAUUGGUCAAUGGACGAGAGUCUGAACCAGCCAAGUAGCGUGAAGGAUGACUGCCCUAUGGGUUGUAAACUUCUUUUAUAUGGGAAUAAAAUGUUCCACGUGUGGGAUUUUGUAUGUACCAUAUGAAUAAGGAUCGGCUAACUCCGUGCCAGCAGCCGCGGUAAUACGGAGGAUCCGAGCGUUAUCCGGAUUUAUUGGGUUUAAAGGGAGCGUAGGAGGAUUGUUAAGUCAGUUGUGAAAGUUUGCGGCUCAACCGUAAAAUUGCAGUUGAUACUGGCAGUCUUGAGUACAGUAGAGGUAGGCGGAAUUCGUGGUGUAGCGGUGAAAUGCUUAGAGAUCACGAAGAACUCCGAUUGCGAAGGCAGUUCACUGGACUGCAACUGACACUGAGGCUCGAAAGUGUGGGUAUCAAACAGGAUUAGAUACCCCGGUAGUC